rnacentral:rRNA from 1 species
AUGAACGCUAGCUACAGGCUUAACACAUGCAAGUCGAGGGGCAGCAUGGUCUUAGCUUGCUAAGGCCGAUGGCGACCGGCGCACGGGUGAGUAACACGUAUCCAACCUGCCGUCUACUCUUGGACAGCCUUCUGAAAGGAAGAUUAAUACAAGAUGGCAUCAUGAGUCCGCAUGUUCACAUGAUUAAAGGUAUUCCGGUAGACGAUGGGGAUGCGUUCCAUUAGAUAGUAGGCGGGGUAACGGCCCACCUAGUCUUCGAUGGAUAGGGGUUCUGAGAGGAAGGUCCCCCACAUUGGAACUGAGACACGGUCCAAACUCCUACGGGAGGCAGCAGUGAGGAAUAUUGGUCAAUGGGCGAGAGCCUGAACCAGCCAAGUAGCGUGAAGGAUGACUGCCCUAUGGGUUGUAAACUUCUUUUAUAAAGGAAUAAAGUCGGGUAUGGAUACCCGUUUGCAUGUACUUUAUGAAUAAGGAUCGGCUAACUCCGUGCCAGCAGCCGCGGUAAUACGGAGGAUCCGAGCGUUAUCCGGAUUUAUUGGGUUUAAAGGGAGCGUAGAUGGAUGUUUAAGUCAGUUGUGAAAGUUUGCGGCUCAACCGUAAAAUUGCAGUUGAUACUGGAUAUCUUGAGUGCAGUUGAGGCAGGCGGAAUUCGUGGUGUAGCGGUGAAAUGCUUAGAUAUCACGAAGAACUCCGAUUGCGAAGGCAGCCUGCUAAGCUGCAACUGACAUUGAGGCUCGAAAGUGUGGGUAUCAAACAGGAUUAGAUACCCUGGUAGUCCACACGGUAAACGAUGAAUACUCGCUGUUUGCGAUAUACUGCAAGCGGCCAAGCGAAAGCGUUAAGUAUUCCACCUGGGGAGUACGCCGGCAACGGUGAAACUCAAAGGAAUUGACGGGGGCCCGCACAAGCAGUGGAGUAUGUGGUUUAAUUCGAAGCAACGCGAAGAACCUUACCAAGGCUUGACAUAUACAGGAAUAUAUAAGAGAUUAUAUAGCUCUUCGGAGUCUGUAUACAGGUGGUGCAUGGUUGUCGUCAGCUCGUGCCGUGAGGUGUCGGCUUAAGUGCCAUAACGAGCGCAACCCUUGUUGUCAGUUACUAACAGGUUCCGCUGAGGACUCUGACAAGACUGCCAUCGUAAGAUGUGAGGAAGGUGGGGAUGACGUCAAAUCAGCACGGCCCUUACGUCCGGGGCUACACACGUGUUACAAUGGGGGGUACAGAGGGCCGCUACCACGCGAGUGGAUGCCAAUCCCAAAAACCUCUCUCAGUUCGGACUGGAGUCUGCAACCCGACUCCACGAAGCUGGAUUCGCUAGUAAUCGCGCAUCAGCCACGGCGCGGUGAAUACGUUCCCGGGCCUUGUACACACCGCCCGUCAAGCCAUGGGAGCCGGGGGUACCUGAAGUGCGUAACCGCGAGGAGCGCCCUAGGGUAAAACUGGUGACUGGGGCU